rnacentral:lncRNA from 1 species
AAACUCCUUCAGACUUCUCAGUACUCAAGACAUCUCAAGUUUUUGAAGAGUAAAGUAUAAAAUACUGGCAGGGGUGGGUAGGGGGAACAGGAUAAAUUGGUGAUGGCCCAGAAAAAAUAUCCAGGGGGAUCGCAUUUUUCUUCUCCAAAGCAAAACAGAAUUCAUAACUGAAAGAGGAAUAGAGAAAGAGGAAAAAAGUGAUCUGGGACCUGUUGUUUUUCUUGCAUCCCAUUUCUACUCUGCCUGUGAGUGAAGACUGUUGUGGAAAAGUCAACUGGAGAGACCAGGUCAAAGGCCAAGCAGAAGAGGAAUUAGGCUUAAGACUGCACUGAGAGGGAACACUAGACCAUGGUGGGCAAAAUGGCCGAAUAGGAGCAGCUCCAGUCUACAGCUCCCAGGGAGAUUAAUGCAAAAGGAUGGAGUCUCGACACGUUGCCCAAGCUGUUCUCAAACUCCAGGGCUUGAACAAUCUUCCCACCUUGGCCUCCCAAGGCACUGGAAUUACAGGAGACAGUGCUCUGCAGGGAGUCUACCACUGUGAUGGUUAAUACUGAGUGUCAACUUGAUUGGAUUGAAGGAUGCAAAGUAUUGUUCCUGGGUGUGUCUGUGAGGGUGUUGCCAAAGGAGAUUAACAUUUGAGUCAGUGGGCUGGGAAAGGUAGACCCAGCCGUAAUCUAGGUGGGCACCAUCUAAUCAGCUGCCAGCACAGCUAGAAGAUAAAGUAGGCAGAAAAACAUGAAAACAUUAGACUGGCCUAGCCUCUGAGCCUACAUCUUUCUCCCAUGCUGGAUGCUCCCUGCCCUUGAACAUCAGACUCCAAGUUUUUCAGUUUUGGGACUGGGACUCACUAUCCUUGCUCCUCAGCUUGCAGACAGCCUAUUGUGGGACCUUAUGAUCAUGUGAGUUAAUACUUAAUACAUAAAUAUAUAUAUAUACACACACACAUAUACACACACACACACACAUAUAUAUAUACACACACACACACAUAUAUAUAUAUAUCUGUCCCUCUAGAGAACCCUGACUAAUACAACUACUAAUAAAAAUUGGGGCAAAAGACAUUGAUUGGGUAUUGUAAGUAGGUUAUGCUCACAGUAGCAAUAUCUCUUAAGACUUUUUAAAAGACUUCCUAAUAAAAGAGAUUUAAAAUACAGCA